rnacentral:rRNA from 1 species
AUACGGAGGGUCCAAGCGUUAUCCGGAAUCAUUGGGUUUAAAGGGUCCGCAGGCGGUCAAUUAAGUCAGAGGUGAAAGCCCAUCGCUCAACGAUGGAACUGCCUUUGAUACUGGUUGACUUGAGUUAUACGGAAGUAGAUAGAAUAAGUAGUGUAGCGGUGAAAUGCAUAGAUAUUACUUAGAAUACCGAUUGCGAAGGCAGUCUACUACGUAUAUACUGACGCUGAGGGACGAAAGCGUGGGGAGCGAACAGGAUUAGAUACCCCGGUAGUCC